GACCCACUAGCUCAGUUGGCAGAGCACCUGACUUUUAAUCAGGGUGUCCCGCGUUCGAGUCGCGGGUGGGUCACCA
rnacentral:tRNA from 2 species